rnacentral:rRNA from 1 species
AUUGAACGCUGGCGGCAGGCCUAACACAUGCAAGUCGAACGAGUGGCGGACGGGUGAGUAAUGUCUGGGAAACUGCCCGAUGGAGGGGGAUAACUACUGGAAACGGUAGCUAAUACCGCAUACCAUCGGAUGUUCCCAGCUGGGAUUAGCUAGUAGGUGGGGUAACGGCUCACCUAGGCGACGAUCCCUAGCAGGUCUGAGAGGAUGACCAGCCACACGGGAACUGAGACAGGGGCCAGACUCCUAGGGGAGGCAGGAGUGGAGAAGAUUGCAAAAGGGGCGAAAGCCAGAGGCAGCCAUGCCGCGUGUAUGAAGGAGGUCUGCGGGUUGGAAAGUACUUUCAGCGAGGAGGCGUUACUCGCAGAAGAAGCACCGGAGAACUCCGUGCCAGCAGCCGCGGGAUAC